GUGCCAGCAGCCGCGGUAAUACCGGCAGCACGAGUGAUGGCCGCUAUUAUUGGGCCUAAAGCGUCCGUAGCUGGCCAGUCAAGUUCGUUGGGAAAUCGGCGUGCCUAACACGUCGGCGUCCAGCGAAAACUGACUGGCUUGGAGCCGGAAGACCCGAGGGGUACGUCCGGGGUAGGAGUGAAAUCCCGUAAUCCUGGACGGACCACCGGUGGCGAAAGCGCCUCGGGAAAACGGACUCGACAGUGAGGGACGAAAGCUGGGGUCUCGAACCGGAUUAGAUACCCGGGUAGUCC
rnacentral:rRNA from 1 species